rnacentral:rRNA from 1 species
GACGAACGCUGGCGGCGUGCUUAACACAUGCAAGUCGAACGGAAAGGCCCUGCUUUUGUGGGGUGCUCGAGUGGCGAACGGGUGAGUAACACGUGAGUAACCUGCCCUUGACUUUGGGAUAACUUCAGGAAACCGGGGCUAAUACCGGAUAGGAGCUCCUGCUGCAUGGUGGGGGUUGGAAAGUUUCGGCGGUUGGGGAUGGACUCGCGGCUUAUCAGCUUGUUGGUGGGGUAGUGGCUUACCAAGGCUUUGACGGAUAGCCGGCCUGAGAGGGUGACCGGCCACAUUGGGACUGAGAGACGGCCCAGACUCCUACGGGAGGCAGCAGUGGGGAAUAUUGCACAAUGGGCGGAAGCCUGAUGCAGCAACGCUGCGUGCGGGAUGACGGCCUUCGGGUUGUAAACCGCUUUCGCCUGUGACGAAGCGUGAGUGACGGUAAUGGGUAAAGAAGCACCGGCUAACUACGUG